rnacentral:misc_RNA from 1 species
AAAGCUUCUCCAAAAAAUAAAAAUGGCUGCCACUAUGAGUUUGACUAAAAACUUCACUACCUUUUCUAUUCCUCAAUCCUUUCACCCUCAAAAUGGAACUCAAAUUGGCCGGCACUUACAGCGCAUUCCCAAUUCCAAUUACAGUGUUCCAAGUGUCAGAUUACACAGAUUUGGGUCCAGAAUCGAAAACGAUGGUCCCCGAAAAAUCGGCCGGGUGCAGAUUCGAGCGAUGUCGGGUUCAUUCGGGUCCCGAUUGGAGGAGAGCGUGAAAAAGACUAUUACGGAAAACCCAGUAGUUGUCUACUCCAAGAGUUGGUGUUCGUACUCAACUGAGGUGAAAGUUUUGUUCAAGAGACUUGGUGUAGAUCCUCUUGUUAUUGAAUUGGACGAAAUGGGUCCCCAAGGACCACAACUGCAGAAAGUACUGGAAAGGCUUACUGGACAGCAUACGGUUCCCAAUGUAUUCAUUGGGGCCAAACACAUAGGUGGUUGCACAGACACGAUUAAGCUGUAUCGGAAAGGAGAACUUGAAUCUUUGCUAUCGGAAGCUAAAGCUGGGAAAACAGAGAGCUAGGCCCUCUUGAGCUAUCCAUGCCAAGUGAUCCUAUCUCAUGCUCUCCUUGUACGCAUUAUUCUUCCAGAUCUCUGAUAUAUUUAUUAUGUUGUUCCAUUACAAGUAAAUCUUGCUUCUGAUUGGGAAACUCAUUGUUGAAGCAGGAAUCUAUGUUGAUAUAACUUCAUUCAUGAGUUUAUUACUGAAUUUCUUCCUUCCUCAAAGACUGGUUUUGUACUUUGCAAUAUUGACCAGCACUUGCACUUUUCUUAUUUAUGAGAAACUAUAUCAAUUGAAAACGAAAUAAGAUUUGGUGUUU